CUUCUCAAUUCUCGCUCAUUCCUCCACGCGAUUCAUCAUCUUCCCACCCCUCUAGCAGCAAGCCCUAACCCCCACCAGCAUAAGCCAUCAGUUACCAUCUUCCUUCCCUAUACUAGGAAGCCCCAACCCACCGCCGAAGAAAGCCGUUCGUGGUGCGCUAUUGCUCCGUCUCUGCCUCUGUCCUCGCCGCAUACGUCGGUCGCGUCUGCCCUUCUCCUCGCCGCAAAUGUUGGUUGUGUCUGCCCCUCUCCUCUUCUCGGAAUGCGUGGUCAUUACUGGUUGUCUCCUGGCCAUCGUUGCUAAAGCCGCUCCUCGCAUUGCGUCGUGGUCUGCCCCUGUCGUGGUUCCUCUGCUUCUGAAUUGCGUGCGGUCCUUGCCUCCUCAGCUCGUUGUGGCUCAACCACCGUUUUAGUACAGGUAAGAGGAGGAGAUUUUCCCAAGUUGACUCACGGUUACUGCUGGUGAAGCUGUUCAUGGAUGGCUCCCUCUUAGAGCUGAUUCUUUCAAUAGUUAAAUAAGAAAAUGUCUGCGCAAAAUAAGAAAAAUAGGGCACAACAGAAAUUUGUGCAUCGGAAGGGGCCAAUAAAUUUUGCGAGAAUACGUGCAAGAUUGGCUGCUUCUAAGGGAAAUAAUAAAUCACAUACUUAAACAGAAAUGUUUGUUGAGACUCGCCAAAACACAAAGGGCAAAUCAUUGGAUGAAGACACUUUGGAUGUUAUUGCACAUCUGCAAGCUGAGAAUAAAAAGUCUAAAGAAUCGGUAAUUAGAGCUUUCCGAUUCAUAUUUGGAAAAAAGAAGGCAGGGCGAGUGUGAUGUCAUGGAAGAGUUACCACACCAACUUUGUUGAAGAAAAAUGAAGAAAUUGCCACCCUUAAGCAGCAACAUACAGCUGAGAAAGCAACAUUAGAGAGUAAGGUUGAUGUGAUGCAAAAAAAGUAAAUGAACUAAAGUCUCUUGUUAAGAUAAUGCUGCAACAAAAAAACUCAGGAGUGGACCUUGAGAUGUUAGCUGCUCAACUAGGAAGCAUGUCAGGCAGUCCGAACAAUGAUGCUAAUGAGUCCGAACAAUGAUGCUAAUGAGGAGGAAAAUUAUGUUGAAGGAAAAAUCGAACUUAAUUAAGGUCACAAAUUUUGAAGUGCAAAUGUUAGAGAGUAAAAGUCAUGAACUUGUGGACAUAAUGAUGAUAAACCUACUUGCUACAUAGCUUUUUCAACUCUCUUUUGUUAUUGUAUUUUUUGCAAAUUUAGAUGAUAUAGUUCGAUGUUGUUAUGAUUUAGGCUAGUAUUAUGGUAUUUUGAAAAAUGAUGAUGAUACAAUUAGAAGUAAUUAUGGUAUUUUGCAAUGAUGAUGUAAUGUGAGAUUGUGGAUUUUACAUAAUAUUUUAU